AGAUGCAAGAUCCGCGCCCCGGGGCUGAAGGGAACGGCGGGAUGGGGUGGGGCUCUGCCUGGCGCGCCUGGGCGGAGUGCUUGGGCUGGAAGGGAUCCUGCCUGCGAUCCCGAAGUCCAGGCGUGGGAGCCAGCGAUCUGCCCACGACCCCAAAGUGAGGCCACUCCACGGCCUCUGGGGCAAAUGCCUGUUAUUCUAGGCAGCCGGUCCCCAGAAGCUGGAAAGUACGUAAAAGUGCCAGAAGCUCCCAUGCUGAAAACUAAACAAAAGGAAUAGUUCAUAUAGCGGCAAAGCUGGAAAGUAUCUGGACAGUUAUCUACCAUCCUCCCUUUUUGUUUGUUGUUUUUUUGUUUUUCUGGGUUUUUUUGUUUUUUUUGUUUUUUUUUUUUUUUUUUGAGAUGGAGUUUCGCUUUUGUUGCCCAGGCUGGAGUGCAAUGGCGCGAUCUCGGCUAUGUCACGUGCAACCUGCAACCUCCACAUCCCGGGUUCAAGAGUUUAUCCUGCCUCAGCCUCCCGAGUAGCUGGAAUUAUAGGCAGGCGCCACGAUGCCCGGCUAAUUUUUGUAUUUUUAGUAGACAUGGGGUUUCGCCAUGUUGGCCAAGCUGGUCUCAAACUCCUGACCUCAGGUGAUCCGCCUGCCUCGGCUUCCCAAAGUGCUGGGAUUACAGGGGUGAGCCACCAUGCCCAACUUGUUUUUUGUUUGUUUGCUUGCUUGCUUGUUUGCUUGUUUGUUUUGAGACAGGGUCUCGCUCUGUCUCCCAGACUGGAGAGCAGUGGCACCAUCUCAGCUCACUGCAACCUCUGCCUCCCAGGUUCAAGAAAUUCUCCUGCCUCUGCCUCCACACCCGUCUAAUUUUUUGUUGUUGUUGUACUUUUUUUUUUUUUUUUUUGUAUAUUUAGUAGAGAUGGGGUUUCACGGUGUUGGCCAGGCCGGUCUUCAACUCCUGACCUCAAAUGAUCUGUCCACCUCAGCCUCCCAAAGUGCUGGGAUUACAGGUGUGAGCCACCGUGCCCGGCCCCAUCCUCCUUUUUAAUAGGCUUAAAAAAUAAAACCAAGGACCAAUGAUUUAAGUGAGGGACUCCAGAGGCCACAGAUGACAGUCAAAACGAAGUGAAAUUGACAUUCGUUGUUGAUUUUCACGUCAUAAAAUUAUAAUUUAAAUAUUAAUUUAUAAUACUAUUUUAUACAAUUUAGUCAGUAUUGUAAAAGUGCCUAAAAACUACUUAAAGAUGGUGUCUUCUUGCAAACCUGUAAAUAUUCCUGGAUGAGAGGAAUGAUGACAGUCAAAAGAAGGGUCUCACUCUGUUGCCCAGGCUGGAGUGCAGUGGUACCAUCACAGUUCACUGCAGCCUCGACCUCCUGGACUCAAGAUCCUCCUUCCUCAGCCUAGCAAGUAGUUGGAACUACAGAUGCACGCCAUCACAUCUGGCUAAUUUUUUGUAAAGACUAGGUGUCACUAUGUUACUCUGGGCUUAAGUGAGCCUCCUGCUUUCAGCCUCCCAAAAUGUUUGGAUAACAGGUGUGAGCCACCACACUCAGCCUUGUUUUUUCUUAAUCUGAAAGAAUAAUCACAUUUGUUUGUCCAUAACACUGAUCGAUUCAGUAGUGAAGAGGGAAAUCUGAUAAUGCAAGACAGAAGCAAGUCUUAUUAUAGAGGGAUCUACUUAGGGACUGUGGGUGGGGAGGGAAAAGCUUCUUCAAGGAAAUAAUUUUUUCUUUUUUUAGACAAAGUUUCACUCUUUUGCCCAGGCUGGAUGCAGUGGUGCGACCUCAGCUCACUGCAACCUUCACCUACUGGGUUCAAGCGAUUCUCCCACCUCAGCCUCCCAAAAAGCGGGGAGUACAGACGUGUACCAUCACACCCAGCUAAUUUUUGUAUUUUUAAUAGAGACAGAGUUUAUCCAUGUUGGCCAGGCUGGUCUCGAACUCCUGGACUCAAGUGAUCCAGCCACCUCAGCCUCCCAAAGUGCUGGGAUUAUAGGUGUGAGCCACAGCACCUGGCCUCUGCCUCUUAUUUUAGAUUACUUAUGUCAACCACUUAACUCCAGUCUCUAUCAUAUCUCACACUUGGCUGAAUAGCCACCAUCAGCAUUAAUAGUUGUUACAGCUUUCUCAGCACCUGGACUCCUACUACCAAUGUUUCUACGAAUAAAAUGUCAGAAUGAAUCCAAGAA